rnacentral:rRNA from 1 species
AAUCAACGCUGGCGGCGUGCCUCAGACAUGCAAGUCGAACGAUUAAAGCUCUCUUCGGAGAGUGUAUAGAGUGGCGCACGGGUGAGUAACACGUAAGUAAUCUACCUUUGAGUGGAGAAUAACAGUCGGAAACGACUGCUAAUACCGCAUAAUGCAGCGGCAUCGCAAGAUGACAGUUGUUAAAGGAGCAAUCCGCUUAAAGAGGAGCUUGCGGCAGAUUAGCUAGUUGGUAAGGUAAUGGCUUACCAAGGCUACGAUCUGUAUCCGGUCUAAGAGGACGGUCGGACACACUGACACUGAAUAACGGGUCAGACUCCUACGGGAGGCAGCAGUCGGGAAUUUUGGGCAAUGGGCGAAAGCCUGACCCAGCAACGCCGCGUGAAGGAUGAAGUAUUUCGGUAU